rnacentral:rRNA from 1 species
UACGGGGGGUGCAAGCGUUGUCCGGAAUCAUUGGGCGUAAAGCGUUCGUAGGCGGUAAGAUAAGUCAGAUGUUAAAGCCCGGGGCUCAACUCCGGUUCGGCAUUUGAUACUAUCUAACUAGAAUGUGGUAGAGGUUAAGGGAAUUCCUGGUGUAGCGGUGAAAUGCGUAGAUAUCAGGAGGAACAUCGGUGGCGAAAGCGCUUAACUGGGCCAUUAUUGACGCUGAGGAACGAAAGCCGGGGGAGCAAAU